rnacentral:rRNA from 1 species
AAACAUGUCUUUUUGAAUAAAUAAUUUAAAGUCAAAUCUGCUCCAUGAAUAUUAAAUAUAUUAAAUAGCUGCAGUAUUUUAACUGUACUAAGGUAGCAUAAUCAAUAGUUUUUUAAUUAAAAGCUGGAAUGAAUGAUUUAAUAAGGUAAAUAUUGUCUCAAGUUUAAUGAAAUUAGAAUUUUUUUUUUAGUAAAAAUACUAAAGUAAUUUUAAAAGACGAGAAGACCCUAUAGAUUUUUAUAAUUUUUAUUAUUAUAAAAUUAUAAGAAUUUUUAUUAUUAUAAAAAUUAUUUGAUUGGGGAAAUUAUUAAAUUAAUUAAAUUUUAUAUUUUAUUAAACAAUAAUUUUUGAAUUUUUGAUCUAAAAUAUUAAAUAAAAGAAUAAAUUACCUUAGGGAUAACAGCGUAAUUUUUUUGGAGAGAUCUUAUUGAUAAAAAAGUUUGCGACCUCGAUGUUGAAUUAAGAUAAAAUUUUAAUGAAGAAGUUAAAAAUUUUUGGUCUGUUCGACCAUUAAAAUCUUACGUGA